rnacentral:rRNA from 1 species
UCCAAGAGAUCGGGAUAACACCUGGAAACAGAUGCUAAUAUCGGAUAAUAACAGAUGAUGCCUAUCAACUGUUUAAAAGAUGGUUCUGCUAUCACUCUUGGAUGGACCUGCGGUGCAUUAGCUAGUUGGUAGGGUAACGGCCUACCAAGGCGAUGAUGCAUAGCCGAGUUGAGAGACUGAUCGGCCACAUUGGGACUGAGACACGGCCCAAACNCCUACGGGAGGCAGCAGCG